UGUUGCUGACCUUUCUCAGAUCCGAAGCUGCUGCUCCAGGCACAGUACUUGGAGUAAUCACUGGUCAUCACUGAGGAAUUAUAAGUCCUCCAGAGAGCAGAAUCAAUUCUCUUUGGAGCUGUAGUUGUCAUUGCCCCUAGAAAGGACUGAAACUUUUGCUUUGCAAAAAGUUAAACCUUUAUCCUCAACAUACUCCCUUAGGUUAAAGAGAGUAGGAUGUGGUGAGAAGAACAACCUCUGGGGCAACCAGCAUGCUGCAGACACAGGGUCUGAAGUUAGGAAGGUGGAGGUAGCUGUUUUUCAUCGCCUUCUGACUGGCUGCCACCUGGGGAUAGUCCACCAUGGCUGGAUCUGGGCAGGAUUUGAAGUAUUCACCAAACCAUGCUGUGUUGAGUCUCCGAAAACUACUUGGCAAGUGAUCCUUCAGGAGAGACAGUUUCCCAUUGAGGCUUCAGGGUAAUGUGAACUUCCAUCUCUGGCAAGCUGCUGUACUGAGCCCUCACAGAAUCCAGACUUUUCAGGGGUAAAGGAAGUUUUCUCUGUGGAAGUGAAGUUCCAUCAACAAUCAGAAGAGCCUGUGAAUAGGAAAUAUUACCUUUACACUCAACCAGACUGCCUCAGUUGUCUUGAGUUGACUACAGAUUUCAGCAUGUUCAAAGCAUAGCAUUUUUACCUCUGUUAUAAAUUACAGAAAUUAAUAUAUAUAUAUAUUCAAUUUUGAAUUUUUAAAAGAAAAUAGAUUUCAAACAAUGGCAUCACUUGGGGGGGUGUCUUUUUUUCUUAUAGUGUUGAAAU
rnacentral:lncRNA from 1 species